AGGAAAAACCGCCGAGAUGGGCAGCGGCCCGCUCGCUCCACACGUUCUGAGACCCGGAGACGACCCAGUGCCGAGCUUCGCCUUCUCCUUACUGCUUCCUCUGCCAUUUUCUCUCCUCCGGGUCAUCGUGAGGAGCGAUCUCCUCUAGAUCUGUUGAUGGAGGUUGAAGGUUUUGCAUACUCACUCGUGGCCACCUGUUGACUACUCUGGGCUAUGGUUUGUGUCCAUCUAUGGUGCUCCUGUCAGAAAUCGUGUACACGUUCAUCCUUGCAGAUUUCUGCUACUACUACGUGAAGAGAUGAUUCAGAUGGUCCAACAGCAACAGUAACAGGUUCGCCCCAGCGACGGAUGGAUGGCCAGUGGCCGGCAAAGUGCGACGAUUCCUUCUCCUCUUUGAUCAAAGCUAAAGAGUGGCAAUCGGGAUCCAAUCCAGAAGAACUACCCGGAUCUCAGUUCUUCCCGCACCCGGCGCCGCGGGAUGGGAAGGCUGAGCAAAGUUGAGGAAUGGGACGAGCUACUCGAUUCUUUUUUCGCGAAAACGCAAAAGCCUUGCGUUUCGAUGCAUUGAUAGAUAAAGAAGUUUCAAUGCAUUGAUAGAUAAAGAAGGUUUGUAUGUACAAUGUCCUCAAGAAGGACCAAUGCCACGCCGUACAACUCAACCCAAAAGACCUAAUCUAGGGGAGGAGUUGGCGAAGCCCUUGGGCGCCGCGCCUCGGCCCUGAUGUCACUGAAUAAGGAGGUCACCGAGGGACGCGCGUUGUCGAAGACCGCCGCGUUCCUGUGCUUCCAAAUCCACCACGCCGUGAGCAUGAUGAGUGACGAUGUUCUUUUGCGCAACUGGCGUGGGGAGGUCCGCACCACCAGCGACCACCACUCCACGAAGUCACCCUCAACCGUAGGAGGCCCAGCUGUGGAUCGAAUCCACGACAGAAUCUCAAACCAAACUGUCCUAGAGAAGGAGCAACCGAUCAGGAUGUGCGCCAUGGUCUCCACUGACUGGUCGCACAGCGGGCAUCUUGUCGCAUGGGGCAGUCCCCGACGCGUCAGACGCUCACUCGUCUAGGACCUAUCUUGGCAAGCAAGCCAGAUAAAGAACACUAACCUUGGUAGCGCCUAGGAUUUCCAGUUCAGCUUCCAGGAGCCUGAUAAGAUCGCCCCCUGGAAGAGGGCGUCAUAACAUGAGCUGGAGGAGUACUGGCCAUCCGUCGUCCAACGUCAAACCAACUUGUCCUGAUCCGGGGAGAGCACCAUGUCCCUGAGCCUAGUCCAGAGCUGAACAUACUGCCAUAGGGCCAAGGCGCUCGGUGCACCCACGAUGUCCGAUA